rnacentral:rRNA from 1 species
GACGAACGCUGGCGGCGUGCUUAACACAUGCAAGUCGAACGAAAAGGCCCUGCUUAUUUGGGGUGCUCUAGUGGCGAACGGGUGAGUAACACGUAAGUAACCUGCCCUUGACUUUGGGAUAUCUUCAGGAAACUGGGUCUAAUACCGGCUAGGAGCUCCUGCUUCUUGGUGGGGGUUGGUAAGUUUCGGCGGUUGGGGAUGGACUCGCGGCUUAUCAGCUUGUUGGUGGGGUAGUGGCUUACCAAGGCUUUGACACGUAGCCGGCCUGAGAGGGUCACCGGACACGUUAGGAUGGGGAUACGGCACAGACUACUCCCGGAGGCAGAAGAGCGGUAUCGUAUACAAGAGGAGGAACGAUGAUGCAGCAAAGCCGUGCCGGGGAUGCCAGGAAUCGGGUUGGAUACCGCUUUUGCCUGUGACGAAGCGUGAGUGACGGUACCGGGUAAAGAAGCUCCGGCUAACUACGUG